AUUGAACGCUGGCGGCAUGCCUUACACAUGCAAGUCGAACGGCAGCGCGGGGCAACCUGGCGGCGAGCGGCGAACGGGUGAGUAACACAUCGGAACGUACCCAAUCGUGGGGGAUAACUAUCCGAAAGGAUAGCUAAUACCGCAUAAGUCCUGAGGGAGAAAGCGGGGGAUCGCAAGACCUCGCGCGGAUGGAGCGGCCGAUGUCGGAUUAGCUAGUUGGUGGGGUAAAGGCCCACCAAGGCGACGAUCCGUAGCUGGUCUGAGAGGACGACCAGCCACACUGGAACUGAGACACGGUCCAGACUCCUACGGGAGGCAGCAGUGGGGAAUUUUGGACAAUGGGGGCAACCCUGAUCCAGCCAUUCCGC
rnacentral:rRNA from 1 species